AAAUUGAAGAGUUUGAUCAUGGCUCAGAUUGAACGCUGGCGGCAGGCCUAACACAUGCAAGUCGAACGGUAACAGGAAGAAGCUUGCUUCUUUGCUGGCGAGUGGCGGACGGGUGAGUAAUGUCUGGGAAACUGCCUGAUGGAGGGGGAUAACUACUGGAAACGGUAGCUAAUACCGCAUAACGUCGCAAGACCAAAGAGGGGGACCUUCGGGCCUCUUGCCAUCGGAUGUGCCCAGAUGGGAUUAGCUUGUUGGUGGGGUAACGGCUCACCAAGGCGACGAUCCCUAGCUGGUCUGAGAGGAUGACCAGCCACACUGGAACUGAGACACGGUCCAGACUCCUACGGGAGGCAGCAGUGGGGAAUAUUGCACAAUGGGCGCAAGCCUGAUGCAGCCAUGCCGCGUGUAUGAAGAAGGCCUUCGGGUUGUAAAGUACUUUCAGCGGGGAGGAAGGGAGUAAAGUUAAUACCUUUGCUCAUUGACGUUACCCGCAGAAGAAGCACCGGCUAACUCCGUGCCAGCAGCCGCGGUAAUACGGAGGGUGCAAGCGUUAAUCGGAAUUACUGGGCGUAAAGCGCACGCAGGCGGUUUGUUAAGUCAGAUGUGAAAUCCCCGGGCUCAACCUGGGAACUGCAUCUGAUACUGGCAAGCUUGAGUCUCGUAGAGGGGGGUAGAAUUCCAGGUGUAGCGGUGAAAUGCGUAGAGAUCUGGAGGAAUACCGGUGGCGAAGGCGGCCCCCUGGACGAAGACUGACGCUCAGGUGCGAAAGCGUGGGGAGCAAACAGGAUUAGAUACCCUGGUAGUCCACGCCGUAAACGAUGUCGACUUGGAGGUUGUGCCCUUGAGGCGUGGCUUCCGGAGCUAACGCGUUAAGUCGACCGCCUGGGGAGUACGGCCGCAAGGUUAAAACUCAAAUGAAUUGACGGGGGCCCGCACAAGCGGUGGAGCAUGUGGUUUAAUUCGAUGCAACGCGAAGAACCUUACCUGGUCUUGACAUCCACAGAACUUUCCAGAGAUGGAUUGGUGCCUUCGGGAACUGUGAGACAGGUGCUGCAUGGCUGUCGUCAGCUCGUGUUGUGAAAUGUUGGGUUAAGUCCCGCAACGAGCGCAACCCUUAUCCUUUGUUGCCAGCGGUCCGGCCGGGAACUCAAAGGAGACUGCCAGUGAUAAACUGGAGGAAGGUGGGGAUGACGUCAAGUCAUCAUGGCCCUUACGACCAGGGCUACACACGUGCUACAAUGGCGCAUACAAAGAGAAGCGACCUCGCGAGAGCAAGCGGACCUCAUAAAGUGCGUCGUAGUCCGGAUUGGAGUCUGCAACUCGACUCCAUGAAGUCGGAAUCGCUAGUAAUCGUGGAUCAGAAUGCCACGGUGAAUACGUUCCCGGGCCUUGUACACACCGCCCGUCACACCAUGGGAGUGGGUUGCAAAAGAAGUAGGUAGCUUAACCUUCGGGAGGGCGCUUACCACUUUGUGAUUCAUGACUGGGGUGAAGUCGUAACAAGGUAACCGUAGGGGAACCUGCGGUUGGAUCACCUCCUUACCUUAAAGAAGC
rnacentral:rRNA from 1 species